rnacentral:rRNA from 1 species
UAUUUUAAUGGCCGCGGUAUUUUGACCGUGCAAAGGUAGCAUAAUCAUUAGUCUAUUAAUUGUGGACUGGAAUGAAUGGCUGGACGAGAUAUUAUCUGUCUCUAUUUAAUUAAUAUAAUUUAAUUUUUUUGUCAAAAAGCUUAGAUUUUUUUGUAGGACGAGAAGACCCUAUAGAUCUUUAAUUUUGUUAUUGACUUUUCCUUUAGUUUCUUUUUUAUUGUUAAUGAUUUUUUUUUGGUUGGGGUGACUAGGGGAUUUGUAUAACUCCUUAUUUAUAUGUUUACAUUGAUUUUUGUAUACUUGACCUUUUAGUAUUGUUUUAAGAUUUAGAUACCUUAGGGAUAACAGCGUAAUUUUUCUUGAGAGUUCUUAUCGACAGGAGAGAUUGCGACCUCGAUGUUGAAUUAAGGGUAUUUCUUGGUGUAGAAGCUAAGUUAAUAGGUCUGUUCGACCUUUAAAUUCUUACAUGAUCUGAGUCAAAAA